rnacentral:rRNA from 1 species
AUUGAACGCUGGCGGCAGGCCUAACACAUGCAAGUCGAACGUGUGGAGGACGGGUGAGUAAUGUCUGGGAACCUGCCUGAUGGUGGGGGAUAACUUCUGGAAAAGGUACUUAAUCCCGCAUACCAUAAGAUGUGGCCAGUUGGGAUUAGCUGGUUGGUGGGGUAACGGUUCACAAAGACGACGAUGCCUAGCUGGUGUGCGAGGAUGACGAGCCACACUGGAACUGUUAGACGGUCCAUACUCCUCAGUGUCCCAGCGGUGGGGAAGAUUGCACAUUGGGCACAAUCCUGAUGCAGCCGUGCCGCGUGUGUGAAGAAGGCCUUCGGGUUUUUAGGUUCGUUAAGCGGUGAGGCGGUACCCGGAGAAGAAGCACCGGCUAACUCCGUGCCAGCAGCCGCGGUAAUAC